AAUGGCUAAUGAUUUAGUUAAACUAGAAAAAGGGUCAGAGUUGUGGCAACUGACAUUUAAUGUGGAUAAGUGCAAGAUAAUGCAUCUUGGACGUAAAAACCCAAGAGCAGAGUACAGAAUAUUUGAUAGAGUCCUAACAUCAACAUCUGAGGAAAGGGAUUUAGGAGCAUUCAGACCACUACAGCUCAUUGAAGUGGUCUGGAUGCACUGUCCCAGGGCCCUUUACCCUGCAAAAGUAAUUAUUGUAGUUUUUAAGAAACUGCAAUAAUAACCGUUCAGGGUUAACUCCUCCUCUAGUGGCUAUGCAUGGGGACAUCCAGCUUCAUGCAAGACCCAAUAGGAAAGCAUUGUAUAAUAUUUUCCUAUUGAGAAAUCCUAACGUGGCCAUUGAGGAGCGAAGGUGGACACAUGCAUCGGGGCUGGACCCGGGUAGUGACAAGGGAGUUUUUAACCCCUUCUGCACCACAAGGUAGGGGCGCUUGACAGAGGGGGAAGCUAUAGUGCCAGGAAAACAAGUUUCUUAUUUUCUUCCUUCUUUUACAAAAAGUGUAAAUAGAAAUCGGCCGAUUUAUAAAUUAACUUUUUACACCUACCCAGCUUUCAAGCAGACAUGUCCUGUUACUUCCUGGUUUGUCUGUCUCAGUGGAGCUAAACUCAAGAGACAGGCAAUUGUUCAGAGCACCUACCUUGGAAAGACUUCUCACUGAGCUGCUUCGGAAAGUCUGUAAUUGAACAAACGUAUAAGACCAACUUUUAGUGUGCAUUUUGAUUUUGCUGUGUGUGGUAUUUUUAUUGUAUGAUUUUGUCCAAUACGCUUAAAGUCCUAUUCUAAGCACCAAGACAACUUUUGAAGCAGUUAUUUUUUCGGUGUACAGACCAGUGGUUGGCAAACCAGUCCUCAAGGCACCCCUACCAGUCUAGGAUUUCGGGAUUACCCAGUUGUGUCUAAGGUGUCUUUUAGAGGGGAAAAAAAAACAUCUUAGACACAACAGAGUAAUCCCUAAAUCCUUGACUGGUAUGAGUUCAUUGAGGACUGGUUUGGGAACCACUGGUAGAUCUCAUUUAGGAAUUAAAUCACAUUUGUUUUAGCCACACAUCCCUGCCUUUGACUCACAUAGCCUAAAGGGGGGGUUGGGGGAAGGAUCAUUUUCAGUCACAUGUGACAACCGUGUGUUUACUUUAGUUUUCAUCUCCAACACUGUUGAUUUAACUUCAAUCAUGCUGUAGCAGGCGGUUAACUGAGCAGUAUUUGAUAAUUCUGAAGUAAACAGUGCAAUGAAUGGAAGUUGAAACAUUAAGUUUCUCUUUACGGGAAAUAUGUAGGCAGACUGUAUAUGCCACAUGCUGGUAAAAUGUGAGCAGGGCUGCAUACACAAAGUGAUUUAACUACUAAAUGGCAGAUAAUUUAUAGGUUUGACUGGAAGUACAUGAUCUAACUGCCAAAAACACUCCAUUAAGCUCAAGUUAUUUUUGUGCUUAUAGUGUCCUUUUAAAAUGUAGGUAUUCAGCCUGUAACUUUCUACACUCUUUGUCACUUAUCACCUAGAUAUAAUAAAUCUAUAUUAUUAGCAAGGUA